GACGAACGCUGGCGGCGUGCUUAACACAUGCAAGUCGAACGGUGAACCUCUUCGGAGGGGAUCAGUGGCGAACGGGUGAGUAACACGUGGGCAACCUGCCCCCGGCUCUGGGAUAACUCCAAGAAAUUGGGGCUAAUACCGGAUGUUCACCGCUUCCCGCAUGGGUGGUGGUGGAAAGGGUUUCCGGCUGGGGAUGGGCCCGCGGCCUAUCAGCUUGUUGGUGGGGUAGUGGCCUACCAAGGCGACGACGGGUAGCCGGCCUGAGAGGGUGACCGGCCACACUGGGACUGAGACACGGCCCAGACUCCUACGGGAGGCAGCAGUGGGGAAUAUUGCGCAAUGGGCGGAAGCCUGACGCAGCGACGCCGCGUGGAGGAUGACGGCCUUCGGGUUGUAAACCUCUUUCAGCAGGGACGAAGCGCAAGUGACGGUACCUGCAGAAGAAGCACCGGCCAACUACGUG
rnacentral:rRNA from 1 species